rnacentral:rRNA from 1 species
CCUACGGGAGGCAGCAGUGGGGAAUAUUGCACAAUGGGGGAAACCCUGAUGCAGCGACGCCGCGUGAGUGAAGAAGUAUUUCGGUACGUAAAGCUCUAUCAGCAGGGAAGAAAAUGACGGUACCUGACUAAGAAGCCCCGGCUAACUACGUGCCAGCAGCCGCGGUAAUACGUAGGGGGCAAGCGUUAUCCGGAUUUACUGGGUGUAAAGGGAGCGUAGACGGCAGCGCAAGUCUGGAGUGAAAUCCCAUGGCUUAACCAUGGAACUGCUUUGGAAACUGUGUAGCUAGAGUGCAGGAGAGGUAAGCGGAAUUCCUAGGGGAGCGGUGAAAUGCGUAGAUAUUAGGAGGAACACCAGUGGCGAAGGCGGCUUACUGGACUGUAACUGACGUUGAGGCUCGAAAGCGUGGGGAGCAAACAGGAUUAGAUACCCGAGUAGUC